AUCCUUUUGUAGUUCAUAAGCAUGAUGAUUGGGUUUUCACACUCAUGUGUGAGAUGUGCCUACCUCAGACCUUGCUAUGACAUUAGCAUAUUACCCAUCUGACA
rnacentral:snoRNA from 1 species